CUUUGGUCUGUCCAUCAUUAUCAACAAUCUUUGCUCACAUUCCAAUCUUUUAAUCGAGGGCGGUGGAGCUCCAAUGUCUGAAGCAUCUGCAAAUCUUCCGUCUCUUGGAGUUUUCAAUGUCCCUGCAAAUGAAGGGCAAACAUGGAAGCUUAAUGUCCCGUUGCUUCUCCCACAUUCACCGUUUGGAUUCUUCACCUCAUUGCUGAGAUUGUGUUUGGCACUUUGUCGCAGAAAUAAAGACAUGAUACAAUUUCUGUUGCCAUCAAUCGUCCAGAACAAAGAUAUUUUACUGUACAUGAAAAAGACAGUCUCAGCCGGCAAGUCCAAUGUCAGUAUGUCGCACUUUACUCAACCUGAAAAUGUGUUUCAAUUUUAUUGGUUGAAAUGUUGCUGU
rnacentral:sRNA from 1 species